GGGUGGGAUGAGUAUUCUAAGGCGCGUGGAAGAACUCUCUUUAAGGAACUCUGCAAAAUAGCACCGUAUCUUCGGUAUAAGGUGUGGUUAGCUUUGUAUUAGGAUUUACUCCGAAAGCAAGGAAACUUACAACAAAGAGUCCCUCCCGACUGUUUACCAAAAACACAGCACUCUGCUAACUCGUAAGAGGAUGUAUAGGGUGUGACGCCUGCCCGGUGCUCGAAGGUUAAUUGAUGGGGUUAGCAUUAGCGAAGCUCUUGAUCGAAGCCCGAGUAAACGGCGGCCGUAACUAUAACGGUCCUAAGGUAGCGAAAUUCCUUGUCGGUUAAAUACCGACCUGCAUGAAUGGCGUAACGAGAUGGGAGCUGUCUCAAAGAGGGAUCCAGUGAAAUUGUAGUGGAGGUGAAAAUUCCUCCUACCCGCGGCAAGACGGAAAGACCCCGUGGACCUUUACUACAGCUUGACACUGCUACUUGGAUAAGAAUGUGCAGGAUAGGUGGGAGGCUUUGAGUAUAUGACGCCAGUUGUAUAUGAGCCAUUGUUGAGAUACCACUCUUUCUUAUUUGGGUAGCUAACCAGCUUGAGUUAUCCUCAAGUGGGACAAUGUCUGGUGGGUAGUUUGACUGGGGCGGUCGCCUCCCAAAUAAUAACGGAGGCUUACAAAGGUUGGCUCAGAACGGUUGGAAAUCGUUCGUAGAGUAUAAAGGUAUAAGCCAGCUUAACUGCAAGACAUACAAGUCAAGCAGAGACGAAAGUCGGUCUUAGUGAUCCGGUGGGUCUGUGUGGAAGGGCCAUCGCUCAAAGGAUAAAAGGUACCCCGGGGAUAACAGGCUGAUCUCCCCCAAGAGCUCACAUCGACGGGGAGGUUUGGCACCUCGAUGUCGGCUCAUCGCAUCCUGGGGCUGGAGCAGGUCCCAAGGGUAUGGCUGUUCGCCAUUUAAAGCGGUACGCGAGCUGGGUUCAGAACGUCGUGAGACAGUUCGGUCCCUAUCUGCCGUGGGCGUAAGAAGAUUGAAGAGAUUUG
rnacentral:rRNA from 1 species